GAUGAAGAACGUAGCGAAAUGCGAUAAGUAAUGUGAAUUGCAGAAUUCAGUGAAUCAUCGAAUCUUUGAACGCACAUUGCGCCCGUCAGUAUUCUGGCGGGCAUGCCUGUUCGAGCGUCAUUACGCCCCUCAAGUCCCCUGUGGACUUGGUGUUGGGGAUCGGCGAGGCUGGUUUUCCAGCACAGCCGUCCCUUAAAUUAAUUGGCGGUCUCGCCGUGGCCCUCCUCUGCGCAGUAGUAAAACACUCGCAACAGGAGCUCGGCGCGGUCCACUGCCGUAAAACCCCCCAACUUUUUAUAGUUGACCUCGAAUCAGGUAGGACUACCCGCUGAACUUAAGCAUAUCAAUAAGCGGAGGA
rnacentral:misc_RNA from 1 species